rnacentral:rRNA from 1 species
GACGAACGCUGGCGGCGCGCUUAACACAUGCAAGUCGAGCGAAGCGGCGGACGGGUGAGUAACACGUGAGUAACCUGCCUUAGACAUUGGGAUAGCCUCGGGAAACCGGGAUUAAUACCAAAUGGUCUAAGAUGGACUCGCGUCCCAUUAGCAAGUUGGUGAGGUAACGGCCCACCAAGGCGCCGAUGGGUAGCCGGCCUGAGAGGGUGAACGGACACAUUGGAACUGAGAAACGGUCCAAACUAUACGGGAGGCAGCAGUGGGGAAUAUUGCACAAUGGAGGGAACUCUGAGGCAGCGACGCCGCGUAAACAAAGAAGGCUGUCGAGAAGUAAAGUUCUUUUAUAUGGGAAGCGGUACCAUAAGAAAAAGCCCCGGCUAACUACGUGCCAACAGCCGCGGUAAUUC